rnacentral:rRNA from 1 species
UACGGAGGGUGCAAGCGUUAUCCGGAUUCACUGGGUUAAGGGUGCGUAGGUGGGUCUGUAAGUCAGUGGUGAAAUCUCCGGGCUUAACCCGGAAACUGCCAUUGAUACUAUAGGUCUUGAAUUUUCUGGAGGUGAGCGGAAUAUGUCAUGUAGCGGUGAAAUGCUUAGAUAUGACAUAGAACACCAAUUGCGAAGGCAGCUCGCUACAGGAACAUUGACACUGAGGCACGAAAGCGUGGGGAUCAAACAGG